rnacentral:tRNA from 1 species
GCGGGUAUAGUUUAAUGGUAGAAUAAGGGAUUUCCAAUCCUUUGACCGGAGUUCGAUUCUCCGUACCCGCACAA